UACAGGGGGGGCAAGCGUUGUUCGGAAUUACUGGGCGUAAAGGGCUCGUAGGCGGCCAACUAAGUCCGACGUGAAAUCCCAAAGCUUAACUUUGGAACUGCGUCGGAUACUGGAUGGCUUGAAUUCGGGAGAGGGAUGCAGAAUUCCAGGUGUAGCGGUGAAAUGCGUAGAUAUCUGGAGGAAUACCGGUGGCGAAGGCGGCAUCCUGGACCGACAUUGACGCUGAGGAGCGAAAGCUAGGGGAGCGAACAGG
rnacentral:rRNA from 1 species